GUGUCAGCAGCCGCGGUAAUACGGGGGGGGCAAGCGUUGUUCGGAAUUACUGGGCGUAAAGGGUUUGUAGGUGGCUUGUUAAGUCAGACGUGAAAUCCCUCAGCUUAACUGGGGAACUGCGUCUGAUACUGGCGAGCUUGAGUGCAGGAGAGGAACGCGGAAUUCCAGGUGUAGCGGUGAAAUGCGUAGAUAUCUGGAGGAACACCGGUGGCGAAGGCGGCGUUCUGGACUGCAACUGACACUGAUAAACGAAAGCCAGGGUAGCAAACGGGAUUAGAAACCCGUGUAGUCC
rnacentral:rRNA from 1 species